CCAUAUUGAACAUAGCAAGUGCUGAGGGCAUCUGACAGUCAUGGAUUAUCAGAAGCCAGCAGAAAAGGGAAUCAGGUGAGAAACCUGAGCGAUCCGGUCACUGUAACGGAGGAGCGAAUCUCAGAAUCCAUUGUACCUAUGUAUGAGAAGGAGAGACGAGCCAUGAUCCCGGAGCCAGGAAACCUGCUUGUUAUGGCGAGGUUAAA
rnacentral:ncRNA from 17 species